AUUGAACGCUGGCGGCAGGCCUAACACAUGCAAGUCGAACGGCAGCGGGGGAUAGCUUGCUAUCCUGCCGGCGAGUGGCGGACGGGUGAGUAAUGCAUGGGGAGCUGCCCAGUCGAGGGGGAUAACAACUGGAAACGGUUGCUAAUACCGCAUACGCCCUAAGGGGGAAAGGUGGGGAACUUCGGUCCUACCGCGAUUGGAUGCGCCCAUGUGGGAUUAGCUAGUUGGUGAGGUAACGGCUCACCAAGGCGACGAUCUCUAGCUGGUCUGAGAGGAUGACCAGCCACACUGGAACUGAGACACGGUCCAGACUCCUACGGGAGGCAGCAGUGGGGAAUAUUGCACAAUGGGGGAAACCCUGAUGCAGCCAUGCCGCGUGUGCGAAGAAGGCCUUCGGGUUGUAAAGCACUUUCAGUCAGGAGGAAGGUGGUAAGGCUAAUAUCCUUAUCAAUUGACGUUACUGACAGAAGAAGCACCGGCAAACUCUGUGCCAGCCGCCGCGGUAA
rnacentral:rRNA from 1 species